GUGUCAGCAGCCGCGGUAAUACGAAGGGGGCUAGCGUUGUUCGGAAUUACUGGGCGUAAAGCGCGCGCAGGCGGCCAUUCAAGUCAGGGGUGAAAGCCCAGAGCUCAACUCUGGAACUGCCUUUGAAACUGUUUGGCUUGAGUACGAGAGAGGUGAGUGGAAUUCCCAGUGUAGAGGUGAAAUUCGUAGAUAUUGGGAAGAACACCGGUGGCGAAGGCGGCUCACUGGCUCGUAACUGACGCUCAGGCGCGACAGCGUGGGGAUCAAACAGGAUUAGAAACCCGGGUAGUCC
rnacentral:rRNA from 1 species